rnacentral:rRNA from 1 species
CUACGGGAGGCUCCAGUGGGGAAUCUUGGACAAUGGGCGCAAGCCUGAUCAGCCAUGCCGCGUGAGUGAUGAAGGCCUUAGGGUCGUAAAGCUCUUUCGCCAGGGAUGAUAAUGACAGUACCUGGUAAAGAAACCCCGGCUAACUCCGUGCCAGCAGCCGCGGUAAUACGGAGGGGGUUAGCGUUGUUCGGAAUUACUGGGCGUAAAGCGCGCGUAGGCGGACCAGAAAGUUGGGGGUGAAAUCCCGGGGCUCAACCCCGGAACGGCCUCCAAAACUCCUGGUCUUGAGUUCGAGAGAGGUGAGUGGAAUUCCGAGUGUAGAGGUGAAAUUCGUAGAUAUUCGGAGGAACACCAGUGGCGAAGGCGACUCACUGGCUCGAUACUGACGCUGAGGUGCGAAAGUGUGGGGAGCAAACAGGAUUAGAUACCCGCGUAGUC